GUGUGGGGUCUCCAGCCGAUUGUCUUCUGCCAUGCCAAAGGAUUCUAGACUUUCACCAAAUCCAGAGAAGGUGAGGAGGGUCUUCCAACAGUACUUUGUCCAACAGCAACCCUUGAGUUCCAACAGCGGCAGAAUUAAGGACUUUGACGCGAGACGAGUAUCUCGGAGUCAGAUUUGGACCAUUUCGAUUGGAGG